rnacentral:rRNA from 1 species
CAGCCGCCGCGGGAAUACGGAGGGUGCAAGCGUUAAUCGGAAUUACUGGGCGUAAAGCGCACGCAGGCGGUCUGUUAAGUCAGAUGUGAAAUCCCCGGGCUCAACCCGGGAACUGCAUUUGAAACUGGCAGGCUUGAGUCUUGUAGAGGGGGGUAGAAUUCCAGGUGUAGCGGUGAAAUGCGUAGAGAUCUGGAGGAAUACCGGUGGCGAAGGCGGCCCCCUGGACAAAGACUGACGCUCAGGUGCGAAAGCGUGGGGAGCAAACAGGAUUAGAUACCCCUGUAGUCCCUGUCUCUUAUAC